rnacentral:rRNA from 1 species
AUUGAACGCUGGCGGCAGGCCUAACACAUGCAAGUCGAACGAGUGGCGGACGGGUGAGUAAUGUCUGGGAAACUGCCUGAUAGAGGGGGAUAACUACUGGAAACGGUAGCUAAUACCGCAUACCAUCAGAUGUGCCAAGAUGGGAUUAGCUUGUUGGUGGGGUAAAGGCUCACCAAGGCCACGAUCCCUAGCUGGUCUGAGAGGAUGACCAGCAAAACUGGAACUGCGCCACGGUCCAGACUCCUACGGGAGGCAGAAGUGGGGAAUAUUGCACAAUGGGCGCAAGCCGGAUGCAGCCAUGCCGCGUGUAUGAAGAAGGCCUUCGGGUUGUAAAGUACUUUCAGCGGGGAGGCGUUACCCGCAGAAGAAGCACCGGCUAACUCCGUGCCAGCAGCCGCGGUAAUUC